CAUCAAAUUAAAUAAAUUAUUAUUUUUAUCCCGAAACAAAAAGAGCUAGGACUAAACAAAGUUUACGUAGUAAAGUAAUUAUAAAUUUUUCCUAGUAAUGAAAUGUUAGCCGAAUUUUGUAUAUCUGGUUUUUCUAAAAUGAAAUUUAAUUUCACUUAUUUGAAAUCCGCUUGAAUAAAGCUAUUCCAGGAGGGUAAGCUUCUUGAAAUCAUUUUACAUAAAACAAACAGCAAUUGUAUGACUAUCUUAGGCUUGAAAGUAGCCAUAGAUUAAAAAGUGUUUAAACUUUAGCUUCAAUUAACUAUUUGUUUGUUUUUGUUUUUCUAUAGAAAUACUUUAAUUAACAAUUCUUUAAAAGAAACAAUGAUGUUAUUAGUAGAUUCUCAUGUACAAUUUAAAUUUUAAACUUACUAAAAAAUUUAUUCACUUAAAGAUAAAAACAAGGAACUCGGCAAAAAUACUUUUGCCUGUUUAUCAAAAACAUGUCUGCUUGAUAAAAAAAACAGUCUGGCCUGCCCACUGAGUGUUUUAAAGGCCGCGGUAUAAUGACCGUGCAAAGGUAGCAUAAUAAUUAGUCUUUUAAUUGAAGACUGGAAUGAAGGGUCGGACAAAAAGUAACCUGUCUCCUUUUUAAAAAUUGAACUUAACUUUUAAGUGAAAAGGCUUAAAUACUCUUAAAGGACGACAAGACCCUAUAAAACUUUAUAAAAACAGGAUUAAACUUUUAAUUUAUUUUUUUAACAAAGAUUAGUACUGCUUUUAUUUCGUUGGGGCGACGAAAGUAUAACUUUUUAACUGCUUUUUAUUUUUUAACAAAAAUAUUUGUUUUUCUGACCCUUUUUUAAGAUCUAAAGAAAAAGUUACUUUAGGGAUAACAGCGUUAUUUUCUUUGAGAGUCCAUAUCGACAAGAAAGCUUGCGACCUCGAUGUUGAAUUAAGAUGCCACUAUGGUGCAGCAAUUAUAAAGGUAGGUCUGUUCGACCUUUAAAAUCUUACAUGAUUUGAGUUCAAACCGGUGUAAGCCAGGUUGGUUUCUAUCCUUGAGAAAACAAACAAACUAUUUUAGUACGAAAGGAUU
rnacentral:rRNA from 1 species